AAUUUGAGACUCGCAUGAUUGCA
rnacentral:miRNA from 1 species